GAAUGUGAGGGCAAUCUGGCUGCUCCAUCUGUCACCCCAUUGAUCGUCAGGGUUGAUUCGGCUGAUCUGGCUGGCUAGGCAGGUGUCCUCUUCCUCCCUUACUAAUCCAUGUGCUCCCUCCUGAAGCUGAGCACUCAGUCAAAAAGGAUGACCUUCCCCAAGUAGGGGAGGACUGAUCUUCAGCCAAGGGUAUACGAGUAGCUGUGCUCCUGGGCUAGAACCUCCAAACAAGCUCUCAAUAUAUUUCAUUUGUUUCAAAUAUUCACUGUGCCAACUAGUUUUUGUGAAAAAGAAUGCCGAAGAGAGGAAAUAAAUGAAUAUUUUGAUGAGUGACUCAACAAGUUU
rnacentral:snRNA from 1 species